rnacentral:lncRNA from 1 species
GAUGAAAAGGAGAAGAAGAAAAAGAAGAAGAAAAAGGAGAAGGCGAGGAAAAAGACUACAGGCGAUGAUGCUUUUUCCGAAUCAGGAAGCCUCACCGAUGUGGCUUUCCCCUGUAGAGAGAUACAGGAGGAGGACCUGAAGAAGAAGUGUAAAGAGCAGAAGCUAGAUGGCUCUAGCUCAUCGUCAGACAGUGAGGAUGAGAAAAAGAAGAAAAAGAAGAAGAAAGAGAAAAAGAAAAAGAAAAAGAAGAACACCGCUAAGAAGUCUAAGAAGAAAAAGAAGAAGGUGAAUAAUUAUGAAAAGGUGGAUGGUAAACUGAAAGGUUUUGCUUUAAGCUCUGUUUCUCGCUCCCUUCUCACACAUUUUUAUUCCACCAGGAUUCCAGCUCCAGCAGCUCGUCCUCUGAUAGCUCCUCAGAAAGUUCCAGCGAAGAUGAAAAGAAAAAAAAGAAGAAGAUGAAGAAGAAGAAGGAUAACAGCAGCUCAUCAUCAGACAGCUCCAGUGAAGAGGAGGAGAAGAAGAAGAAGAAGAAGAAAAAGAAGAAGAAGACAAAGAGUAAAAAGGACAAGAAAGAUAAGAAAAAGGCUCAGGAGACUGAGGAGGGCGAGGAAAAAAUCGAAGAGGACAGCGUGAUUGGUGUUGCCUCCGAUGCUGCCUUCCCGGCUGGGACAGAGACCUGCCCCUCACUGAGAGACGACGAUGGACACCUGAGUGAUGACGAGGGAGAAGGGUCGGAGGGAAAGAAAAAAGAAAAGAAGUUAAAGAAGAAAAAGGACUCCGGCUCUUCCUCCUCAUCAGACAGCUCAUCUUCUUCAGACAGUGAUGACGACAAAAAGAAGAAAAAGAAGAAAGACAAGAAAAAGAAAAAGAAGGAUUCCGGUUGCUCCUCAUCUUCAGAGAGCUCCUCGUCCUCUUCAGACAGUGAAGAUGACAAGAAGAAGAAAAAGAAAAAGAAGAAAGAUAAUAAGAAGAAAAAGAACAAGAAAAAGAAAGAAAAGGACUCCGGCUCUUCCUCCUCAUCAGACAGCUCAUCUUCUUCAGACAGUGAUGACGACAAAAAGAAGAAAAAGAAGAAGAAAGACAAGAAAAAGAAAAAGAAGGUGAAGAAGGAUUCCAGUUCCUCCUCAUCUUCAGAGAGCUCCUCAUCCUCUUCAGACAGUGAGGAUGACAAGAAGAAGAAAAAGAAGAAGAAAGACAAGAAAAAGAAAAAGAAGGUGAAGAAGGAUUCCAGUUCCUCCUCAUCUUCAGAGAGCUCCUCAUCCUCUUCAGACAGUGAGGAUGACAAGAAGAAGAAAAAGAAAAAGAAGAAAGAUAAGAAGAAGAAAAAGGACAAGAAAAAGAAAGAAAAGAAGCGCUGUGAUUCAGACAGCGAUGAUGACAAGGAAAAGAAGAAGAAGAAAAACAAGAAGAAGAAGAAGAAGAAGAAGAAGAAGCCAGUGAAGAAGGUAAUGCAAAGACACGUGUACAUGACACUACUUACAGGUAAACCCAAACUGGCACUGAUAUUUUCUCUCUCCGCCUUUGCGCGUGUGUGUGAGGAUAGUUAGUUGAGAAAGUAAAUAUAGCAUUAGAUGACAACUCUCUGUGAAUCUUGAGGCUCUGUACUUUGACAGUCUACAGAAAAGGACAGAACAAAUCAAUACCCAUAUGAUUUAUGCUUUUGCCUUCCUUAGUAUCUCAUAAUUCUCUUCAGCAAACCCAUUUCCGCGUAGUUUUAUGGACAAACACAAUGCUGUUUAGUCAUUUAAUUAAAAAGAAAAUGAAAAGCCUCCACACAAUCACUGCAGGCUCUAUUCUCUGCACAAUGUACAAUUUCUGUAGAAUGUAAUACAUGCAGACAUGCUCAAUGCAUCAAACUGAAAAGCUUUACAUUGUCUAUGAUCUGACUUUGUGAAUUAAGCACAAAAGAAACUGUCAUGCUUGUACCAAUAUAGAUCAAAGCAACAAUACAAAUUAUUUUCCUCAGAGAAAUGAACUUGUCUAGUGUAUGUAGUUGGUAAGAAAUGAAAAAAGAAAUGAAUCAGUGCAAUCCUAAACAAAAUUGUUAUUUGUGUUGUGUCGCACGUGUGUGUGCGUGUGUGUGUGUGUGUGUGUGUGUGUGUGUGUGUGUGUGUGUGUGUGUGUGUGUGUGUGUGUGUGUGUGUGUGUGUGUGUGUGUGUCUUAGGAUUCCAGUUCCUCCUCAUCUUCAGAGAGCUCCUCAUCCUGUUCAGACAGUGAGGAUGACAAGAAGAAGAAAAAGAAAAAGAAGAAAGAUAAGAAGAAGAAAAAGGACAAGAAAAAGAAAGAAAAGGUCUGCAUUUUGCACAUUAAACGUUGAGAGAAGGAGGCAGAACCAAACAAAAAAAACAUAGAAUGGCCACUCUCUCUCCAUCUAACAUAAAUCCACUUCAUUAUGCCUGAGUGUACCAGUCCUAGAGCAGACCAGAAUACUGAAAUACACUUGUAAAGGUUACCUCCUCCAGUGCUGCAGAUGGCAUUUCAUACUCAUAUUCCAUUUAUAGAUAUUCCGGGUUCUAUUCUGCCAUCAGGUAGUUGACACAGACAGU